UACGGGGGGGGCAAGCGUUGUUCGGAAUUACUGGGCGUAAAGGGCUCGUAGGCGGCCAACUAAGUCAGACGUGAAAUCCCUCAGCUUAACUGGGGAACUGCGUCUGAUACUGGAUGGCUUGGAUUUGGGAGAGGGAUGCGGAAUUCCAGGUGUAGCGGUGAAAUGCGUAGAUAUCUGGAGGAACACCGGUGGCGAAGGCGGCAUCCUGGACCAACAUUGACGCUGAGGAGCGAAAGCCAGGGGAGCAAACGGG
rnacentral:rRNA from 1 species